GACGAACGCUGGCGGCGUGCUUAACACAUGCAAGUCGAACGGAAAGGCCCUGCUUGCAGGGUACUCGAGUGGCGAACGGGUGAGUAACACGUGGGUGAUCUGCCCUGCACUUCGGGAUAAGCCUGGGAAACUGGGUCUAAUAUCGGAUAGGAGCCAUUUUUAUUGUUAUGGUUGGAAAGUUUUUUCGGUGUAGGAUGAGCUCGCGGCCUAUCAGCUUGUUGGUGGGGUAAUGGCCUACCAAGGCGGCGACGGGUAGCCGGCCUGAGAGGGUGGACGGCCACAUUGGGACUGAGAUACGGCCCAGACUCCUACGGGAGGCAGCAGUGGGGAAUAUUGCACAAUGGGCGCAAGCCUGAUGCAGCGACGCCGCGGGGGGGAUGACGGCCUUCGGGUUGUAAACUCCUUUCGCUAGGGACGAAGCUUUUUGUGACGGUACCUAGAUAAGAAGCACCGGCUAACUACGUG
rnacentral:rRNA from 1 species